AUUGACCUCGGAUCAAGUAGGGAUACCCGCUGAACUUAAGCAUAUC
rnacentral:rRNA from 1 species